rnacentral:rRNA from 1 species
ACGAACGCUGGCGGCGGCUUAACACAUGCAAGUCGAACGGAGUGGCGAACGGGUGAGUAACGCGUGAGCAACCUGCCUAUGACAGUGGGAUAGCCUCGGGAAACCGGGAUUAAUACCGCAUAGUAAUAGAUGGGCUCGCGUCUGAUUAGCUAGUUGGUGAGAUAACAGCCCACCAAGGCGACGUUCAGUAGCCGGUCUGAGAGGAUGAACGGCCACAUUGGAACUAGGACACGGUCCAAACUCCUGCGGGAGGCAGCAGUGGGGAAUAUUGCACAAUGGGGUAAACCCUGAUGCCGCGACGCCGCGUGAACGAAGAAGGUAUUCGUAUCGUAAAGUUCUGUCCUAUGGGAAGCAGUACCAUAGAAGAAAGCUCCGGCUAAAUACGUGCCAGCAGCCGCGGUAAUAC